CUGAAGCCGAGUGGGGUAAAAAGCCAUAGAUAGACCAGAGAAGAGUGUAGUCUAAGAGAAACCGAACGCAAAAAAAAAGCAACCGAAAUGAGCGGAGCCACGACGGCGGCGUAUUUAGCUCGAAGAGCAGCGCAAAAGGAGAGGGUCCGGAUCCUCUACCGCCGUGCCCUCAAAGACACCCUCAACUGGGCUGUCCAUCGCCACCUCUUCUAUCAAGAUGCCUCUGAUCUUCGCGAGAAAUUCGAAGCAACAAGCAUGUGGAAGAUCUUGACACAAUUGACAAAAUGAUAGCUUCAGGUGAAGCAACUUAUGAUAAGUGGCGGCAUCCUGAUCCUUAUAUCGGUACGUCUAUGAGACAUGGUUAGUAUAUGAAGGGGGAGUUAUAUGGAUUGGAUUUUGAAUUUUAUAUCCAGUCUCCAUAACUAUUGUGUGGAAGGGAUUUUUAAGUUGUUUUGAACCUUUAUUUUCAAACAAUUGAGAGGUGAAUAGCUCAAAAUUUUGAUAAGGGAAAUGGAACUUUUUUGCUAAAUAAUUAUUUGCUAUAGGGUUUCAGUUUCUGGUGAUGGUUUGAUGAUCUGAGUGAAAUUCUAAUAAUUUUUUGAAAUAGACAAAUGAGGGCCAAGAUUUGCAG